UACGGAGGAUGCAAGCAUUAUCCGGAUUCAUUGGGUUUAAAGGGUGCGUAGGCGGGCUAUUAAGUCAGUGGUGAAAUCCUGCAGCUUAACUGCAGAACUGCCGUUGAUACUGAUAGUCUUGAGUUUGGUUAAGGUAGGCGGAAUGUGUAAUGUAGCGGUGAAAUGCUUAGAUAUUACACAGAACACCAAUUGCGUAGGCAGCUUACUGAGCCGACACUGACGCUGAGGCACGAAAGCGUGGGGAUCAAACA
rnacentral:rRNA from 1 species